rnacentral:rRNA from 1 species
UAACUGUAUAUAAUUAUACCUGAGUAGUAAUAGUUAAGAUCUUGAAACUCAAAAAAUUUGGCGGUAUUUUAGUCUAUUUAGAGGAACCUGUAGUAUAAUCGAUAAUCCACGAUGGACCUCACUUAACUUUGUUUUUCAGUUUGUAUACCGCUGUUAUUUGAAAAUUUUAUAAGAAUAUUAAUUUUCAUAAUUUUAGAUAAAAAAAAUAAAUCAGGUCAAGGUGCAGCUUAUAGUUAAGAAUUUAUGGGUUACAAUAAAUUUAUUUAUAUGGAUUAGAGUGUGAAAUUACUUUAUGAAAGCGGAUUUAAUAGUAAAUUUUUAAAGAUAAAAUAAUUGAUUUUAGCUCUAAAAUAUGCACACAUCGCCCGUCGCUCUUGUUAUAAUAUAAGAUAAGUCGUAACAUAGUAGAUGUACUGGAAAGUGUAUCUAGAAUGACAAUUUAAAGCUUUUUUAGUAAAGCAUUUCAUUUACACUGAAAAGAUUAUUGUGCAAAUCAAUAUAAAUUGAUAAUAUAUAAUUAUUAAUUAUAUUUUUAUUUAUAUUUUUAUUAAAAAUAAUUAUAUAAUAGUGUUAUAGUAUUUUAUAAAAAAAUAAUAAUUUUAAUUAUAGUUUAUUAAGUAUUGUGAAAGAAUUUUGAAAUAAUUGAAAAAUAUAUAAUAGAUAAGAAAACUUAAU